GUGGGUAUAGUUCAACGGUAGAGCGCCAGAUUGUGGUUCUGGUUGUUGCGGGUUCAAAUCCCGUUACCCACC
rnacentral:tRNA from 2 species